rnacentral:tRNA from 1 species
GGGCGUAUGGUCUAGAGGUAUGAUACCUGCUUUGGGUUUCACAUCCUUUGCAGGGGGUCUUCGGUUCGAAUCCGGAUUCGCCCC